rnacentral:rRNA from 1 species
UGGGGAAUAUUGGACAAUGGACCAAGAGUCUGAUCCAGCAAUUCUGUGUGCACGAUGAAGUUUUUCGGAAUGUAAAGUGCUUUCAGUUGGGAAGAAAAAAAUGACGGUACCAACAGAAGAAGUGACGGCUAAAUACGUGCCAGCAGCCGCGGUAAUACGUAUGUCACAAGCGUUAUCCGGAUUUAUUGGGCGUAAAGUGCGUCUAGGUGGUUAUGUAAGUCUGAUGUGAAAAUGCAGGGCUCAACUCUGUAUUGCGUUGGAAACUGUAUAACUAGAGUACUGGAGAGGUAAGCGGAACUACAAGUGUAGAGGUGAAAUUCGUAGAUAUUUGUAGGAAUGCCGAUGGGGAAGCCAGCUUACUGGACAGAUACUGACGCUGAAGCGCGAAAGCGUGGGUAGCAAACAGGAUUAGAUACCCUGGUAGUCCAUGCCGUAAACGAUGAUUACUAGGUGUUGGGGGUCGAACCUCAGCGCCCAAGCAAACGCGAUAAGUAAUCCGCCUGGGGAGUACGUACGCAAGUAUG